rnacentral:rRNA from 1 species
UGCAAGUCGAGGGGUAACAGGGGGUGCUUGCACUCUGCUGACGACCCCCGUAAGGGGUGCGUAACGCGUAUGCAACCUACCGUUCUACAGGGGGAUAGCCCAGAGAAAUUUGGAAUAAUACCCCAUACGAUCUUUACUUGGCAUCGGGUAAAGAAGAAAACUUCGGUGGUAGAAGAUGGGCAUGCGUCCUAUUAGUUAGUUGGUGAGGUAACGGCUCACCAAGACAUCGAUAGGUAGGGGCCCUGAGAGGGGGAUCCCCCACACUGGUACUGAGACACGGACCAGACUCCUACGGGAGGCAGCAGUGAGGAAUAUUGGACAAUGGAGGCAACUCUGAUCCAGCCAUGCCGCGUGCAGGAAGACUGCCCUAUGGGUUGUAAACUGCUUUUAUACAGGAAGAAACUGCGCUACGUGUAGCGUACUGACGGUACUGUAAGAAUAAGGAUCGGCUAACUCCGUGCCAGCAGCCGCGGUAAUACGGAGGAUCCAAGCGUUAUCCGGAAUCAUUGGGUUUAAAGGGU